UAUGUUUAUUCAUUUAAGAUAAUAACUAUAUAUAUAUAAAAGUUUAAGAUAAGUUAAUUUUAUACAUGAAUUAUCCUAAAUUUAGCCAAAUGUUAAUUUUAUAUAAAAGUUUAAGAUAAGUUAAUCACAAGAAGGAAUUGAAAGUAGGUUAAAUAUAUCUUAGUCAGAAGCGGAUCAAGUAAAUAGUAAUCAACAAAGAGAAUAAGCAAUUGAAAAGAUUUCCAUAUCGUCUCUUUUGUGGAGAAGCUUAAUCUUGUAAGAAUGUUCAAGUUAACUUUAGUCUCUCAUUAUCUAGUAACUAGUAAUCAUCGUGAAUUGGUUUUAACUCGCAAUAUUUUAGAACAUACAAAGAUGGGAGUGUAAACUGUGUCAACAACGUAGAAUUAAUGUACUGAGAAAGUGAGAAAUAGAGCGGACAGACGGUAAAAGCGCCUAAGCAUUAAGACGUUUUGGAAUUAACAGCUCAAUGUAUCCUGUAUCAACUCUGGAAGCAAAGGAACAAUGUUUUGCACAAUCAACUUGUCCUCCUACCACUAUCUAUUGUUAAGCUCAUUGACAGGGAGAUGCGCAACACCAUCACUGCUCGGAGAAAUAGGAAGCUCUUCCUCAACUUCAUGGCCAAGUGGAUGUACUGGUUCUAGGAUCUCUUCAUCUGCUCUUUUGUUAUUCCCUUGUUUUUAGUUUUUUUUUGGCAAGGUGUAACAUAAAUUAGAUCUACUUUGUUUUGUAAAUCUGAACCUUCAUCUUUGUGAUAUUUACCAUUUAACAAAAUAGAAUAAAAAAUAAGACGUUUUGGAAGAUGUUGAUGAGACGAAGAGUUUAGCGUUUGGGAGUACGCAGAGUCAAGUAGUGAGACCCAUCCAACAUGGCAACAAGAGGGAACAGCUGUGUUUCCGCGUGGAUUCUGUAUUGUACUCUUUCAUAUCUCUUCACUCUCUCCGACACUCUAUUACUUCUUUGACAUUCGUACCCCUGCGGUCUUUCAACACUUUUUUUCUAUCAACGUUACUUUUUUUUGGUUCUCAACAUUUUUUUUGCUUGGUUGAACAAUAUGAAAAUUGAAAAGAAAUAAGCUUGAUUGUAGUUGUAGCUUUAUCACGUGAUUAUAUGAAUUAAGAGCAUUGACUACGAAAGGUUAGGUCCUGAAAUUAACUUCUUUCUCAAGAUUCAUUUUUCACCUUCUAACAUUCUUUUACGUAACAAGGUGACACCAAAGUCAAGAUCUAUAUGUUAGUAUAUUUGUCUACAAUUUUAUUUGUAAAAUCUUUACAGUCGAAUUAGGAAACAUUAUUAUAUUCACUUAACAAUCGGUUUAGCUAACCUAUCGAUAACCACUGGAAGGUCGUGAUUGACGUCCAUGCAAAGAAUCCGGGUUAGAAUAGUAGUAUUAGAGCACUCCAUUAGUGAACCCCAUAAAAAGGGUUCACAAAGUACUUUUUUAUUAUUAUUUUUUUUGUUUGAUUUUUGUUUUUUUUUUAAAAAAAAAAUAUAUAUUUUUUCGGACCAAUCGCGGACCGCCACGUGCCGUGGGACCCGCGCUACAGUGAUGAACCAGGUUCACUGGAAAGAAGUGGAGAGAUAUAAGUUCAUCACUAUUCAAUAUUUUAAUUUUUUUUUUUUGGAAUCUGUGUUAACCCCCUCCCAUAAGUUUACUAAUGGGGUGCUCUUAGAGCAUCUGCAUUAGUGAACUCCAUGGAGAGUUCACACAGUUUUCGAAAAAAAAAAUAUUAAAAUAAACAAAAGUAAUGAACCUCCCUCUUAGAAGUUCACUGCACUGAACCCGGAUCAUCACUGUAGCGCGGGCCCCACGACACGUGGCGGCCCGCGAUUGGUCCGGUUAUAAUUUUUUUUUUUUUUUUUUUUUUUAAAACAAAAAUCAAACAGAAAAAAAAAAAAAAAUGCUUUGUGAACCCCUUCCAAGGGGUUCACUAAUGCUGAUGCUCUUAGGUUCAAAACUGAAGUUAGUUCUGCAUAGUUCAGACAAGUAGGGACCACUCAUCUGCAAACACAGAGAAUCUUACAAGUGCCUAGUUGGACUGCUUUGGUCUUAAAUCAGCAGUUAGCCCACGUGUCCAUAUCCAAUCCUCCCCACUCAUCAUCUUCGUACUAUUUUUUUCAUGCUUGGUAGACGAGACACCUUUGCUUUCUGACAUUAUUAUCUUUGUUUUUAUUUGUGUGAUAACAACGUUAUAAAGUCUUAUCUCGAAUAAUUUCCAAAUGUUUGAUAACAAAGCAAUGGAAUCUUUUUGUAAACCAAUCAAAACAAGAAGUUUAUGAAUCUUUGUGUGCUUUGAUUCAGAAUUACAAAAAAAUUAAAUAAAAGAGUUCAUAAUGAUCGAAGGAUUUAUUGGAAAAGUCCGUGUCGAAGUUGUGUACUUAAAAGCAAGAUUUAAAAUUUGAUUAGAUGUUAAAUAUGGGAAUCCCACGUCGAAAAAUUGAUGGGUUAUCUAAUAUUCACAUGUUCAUUAGAAGGUUUUAACAUUAAGCAUUCACGAUUAAAAUAUUGUAACAAUGUUUAUUUUUAAUGGUAUACUUCAAAAGCUGAAAAUCUUUUCGACUGUUUUUCCUGAGUGUCAGAUUCGCAUUUGUCUGUUUUAUUUCUUACAUCAGAAAAAGAAGAAGAAAGCAUACAUCAAGAUAGAAGAUCAUUAAUGGGAAUUGGACGUACAUGAAAAUCAAUUAAAGUGUUGUAAGAUAAAAGACGAGACCAAUAAUUGAGAGGAAAAGAAAUACUAUAGUUAUCGUAUUAUUGUUGAUAAAAAAAAAGAAGUUAUCGUAUUAUUAUGUUAUGUGGAACAUACAUAAAGGAGGCCCAUUUGACACAUGUUUCUUUCUAUCGAAAACCCUUCUUUUGUAGGUGCUGUCAACAACCCACUGUUUUUUUUUUUUCACUGUGUUUUCUUUGUUUCUUAUUCUUUCUACAAACAACCUAUAUAACCUGACCUCUACGUUAUCACUUCAUUCGUUACAAUAUCUUCAAAUAAAAUCUAGGUUUCUUAUGAAUGACCUAAAUAACUUUAACUUGGUUCACAGGUUUGGAUAAACCUACAUUCGUUAGCAAAUGAUAUUCUUAUUCUAUAUACAAUUGAAUGUCUACGAUCCAAAAUCUGACCCUGAACGACAAAGUUACUUAUUCAAGAGAAAAAUGUCUAAUUAACAACCUGAGUCUCCGAAAUUUGGUGACUACACGCAAACCGAAUGUUCGGCUCAUUCCAGGGCCGAUAGCAAUAUUCAACAGAAUGGGCCACAAUUAAUCAUGAGAAGGCCAAUCUCUGAAACCUGGGCAAGUAUUAAAACUUAUCAGGAAGUGGAUUUUAAUGGGUUUUUUUUCGAGGUGCUACAUCUUUCAGCCCAAACAAACACAUCCAUGCCACACGACAUUUUUUAAUAUCUCAAAGGUUUUUUAGAUAUCAUAUACCUAAAUUCUUGUAUCAUACAAUUAAAUAAUUAAAACCAAUAAUUCUUACAAAUUAGUUUAAAUAAUUAAUAGCCGACAAAAAUAAUUAAUUAAAUAGUAGCGAUAGAUCUCAUCGUGAGUUAGUGGUCGUAUGCUCGUAUUUUGUAGCAUGAGUCGCAUGACAUGUUGUGAAAACAAAAGAAAUUAUAGGUACCAUACCAGAAACAUUUUAAAUUAGUAUAUUUAUAGAUACUAGGUCCGUGUCCGCGCUACGCGCGGAUUAUAUGCUUUUAGUGUUUUAAAAUUUUCAUUUUUUUGUCCCAAUAUGUUAAUUGUUUUAUUUGGAAUUCGUAUUAAAAUUUUAAAAUGUUCCACAUAUCUAUUUUAACCUGUUGUGUCUCAUUUUACUGUCUUUUGUGUUUUUGUUUGAUUUAAAUUGAAAUAUAAAUUUUAAUAUUUUCCAUUUACACACAUUUUGUGUUAUUAUAAAACAGAUUUUCAAUUUUGAAUCCAUACAUUAAUACGACUACCACACUAAAUAUGGGGAAUGUAGUUUACCCACAUUUCUGUAUGAAAACCUUGAAUUACAUGGUAUGUUAUCUGAAAACUCAAAUAAUCUUGUAUAACUAUCAUAAUUUAUCUAAAAAAAUCUCAAAACCAGAAAUUAAUUUAUAAAUAGUUGAACUAAAACCAAAUCUAAUUUCAUAAACACAUGUACAUAUCUUAUAUAUUUAAAACUGAAAAUUAUAUAAAAAAAUAUAUGUUGAGCCUAACUUUAGACAUUUAGUUUUUCAGGUCUAUUAUUUUAAAAUAUAUUUGUAGUUAAAAUAUGAAAUCUAUAUUUGUCUCAUUUAACAGUUUGUGUUACUAUAAAAUUUAUUCACUUUUUAAUCCAAAAAUAACUAAUAUGACUAAAACUCUAAAUACGGGAAAUAUAGGUUAAACUUGGGGUUAUUUAUUAAAUAACCAAAAACAAAAUUGGAUUUUAGAGAGACAGUAGAAAGAGAUGGGAUGCGGAAAGAGGAUAUAGAAUGGAAUUUUGUUAGUUUGUGAAUUUUGGUUUUUUUAGUUAUUAGGUUCAAUUUCUGUUUAAUCUUUGCUUUGUUUUUUUUUUCUUUUUAAUUAUUUCCCUCACAUUCAUUCUUUACUUAUUUGGUGUGAUGUAGAACUCAUUUUAGGUACUACAGGUCGCAACUUCAAUUUUCUGAAUAUCUUUUCUUUUGCAUGCCCUUUUUUAUUCUUUUCUUAAUUGACCACAGAAAGGUGAUAGUUCAUCAGCUUAUAACUGCUACGACAGGUUAGUUUAUUCAUGUGAGCACCUAGUUUUUUUCCUUUUAAAUACAAAGAAAUAUAUAUGUAACACAUGUUUAUAAAAUCUUAAUACAAUGAUAAUAUCCAAUAUCUCUCCUUCGGAACUUCAUUGUAAAAGCGAAAAAUAAAACAAAAAAUUCUUUGAUGAUCCCAUGAAGACUAAUCCUCCCACAUGUGCUUAGUUAGCACAAUGACAGAUGAAUGAUAUAUGAUAUAUCAUCUUUAACAUUCUCUCUGCUACUGUACCCAGGGCCGGCCUAUCGCGGAAGCAGGAGAAGCGACCACUUAGGACCCACUUAAAACUUUAUUUUGUUUCUUAUGAAGUUAUCAUAUAUUUUUCAGAACAGUUACCCGUGCUUAUAGUUUUUCUUUUGGGUCAGAAUCUCUGUUUAUAAUUUAAGCGUGACAUUUUGUGGUUUAACUUCUUGAAGUAAAACAAACAGUAUUUGUCAACUUCCAACCUUUGAAAAAAUGAAACUGCUCGUAAAAAUAAACGGAAAUAUUUGAAACUCCAGUAUUAAGCCGCUCCUCACAAACCUGUGAAAACAAACAGAGUAUUGCAAUGUCUCUCAGAUGUGUGGAGCACCAUAGAAACUGGGUAGAAACUUGAUGAUAUGUAAAGAAUGGUGAACUAUGACUUGAAAAGGUGACUGGAUUCUUACCUUCUCAACUAUCUGUUCCAUUUGAGCAGCCCUCAGAAUAACAUCCUCUAGGCAUAUAUCUCUUUAAAGGUUUCAACAGGGAAACAUGAGCAACUAUAGUAAAAAAUACAUUACCACAAUCUGGAAGAUUACACUCACUAAAGAACAAAGGAAAAAAAGAGAUAGACUUCAAAGCAUUUUAGAUGGGACUUACUUCUCUCGAGAGAGUGGGAAAACAAUAUUUGACUAAGAACCCUUUGUCUAGCUUCUCUAAACAAAUGUUCCAAUCAGAAUAUAUAUUAGUUCCAAACUUGUAAAAAAAUUUAACUAAUAGUCAGCCACACAAUGAAAACUUUUCAGCAUCAUCCGGUAAUCAUAGAAUAUUUGGGUUCUGUUGAUUGACAUUCUUCCCCUGCUAGUCAGGUUGGUUCAGGAUGAGAUAAAAAUCCAACUUUUCCCAAUUAAAAAAGAAAUUAAAACUGACAUAAGUAAAGGUAAUAAAUAGUUACAGCGCCAUGUCGAGAUACCAGCUCGUGCAAUUGUAUGUCUAAUAUCUUCUUGUUCAGAACCAGCCUACACAAAAGAAGUAGAAGAGACAGAUCAAUAAAAUAUUAGUUUUGCAAAAAUCGUAACUUUCAAAUAAGAACUUUCAGGUGCUUGAUCCAGUCACCUGAAUAAUUAUUUUUUUGGAAAGGAUGUCUUUCCACGAUAGUACAGUUCCUCAAGAGCACCAGACAUGCUUACUAACUUGAAAAGUCUCCUGCAAACCAAAAAGAAUUAAGAGCGUUCAUAAUCCAAAAAGAGUAUAUCUCAGGCUAACCAAAAAAAGAAUUCAUCACAUACUUGUCAUCAGGAACAGAAACUCCACACUCUGCAUCAUUAGCAAAGAAAGAGCAAGAAACAUGAGCAAGAUCAUCAUGAAACCAUACAUUUUAACCAAUUAAACUCAGAUUAGUGCAAGUUGCUCACUGGGAAUGAGUUUGACUGAGAGAAACAUGGGAUCAUGCAUGCUUCUGCUAAAUCAACUUUGACUUUUUCAUGCCGAUGCUUGAAUUCUGGGAGACAGAGAAACAUGCUCAGAACCAACAUUAAAGGAGUCAACAACAUAAGCUCACGACUGGCAUCGUGAAGCAAGGGAUAUUGUAAUAUAUAAAUAUAUACUAUCAGAUACCAACUCAGGACUGGAAUGGAUACAAAUGGUGAUAGUACUUGGAUUUUCCUUGUUAACCUCAAGAUUGACUUACGCAAGAUUUCAAAUACUCACCUAGUUGAAACUUUGAUGUUGAUAAGUUAGAGAGUAGAAAUUUGCCAUAGAACUUUUCUCGUGAAGCAGGCUGAGUCUUUAGUUUCUUAUCUUUCAAUUACUACAGAACAUGAAGAAACAAUCAACAUUUGUCCAAAAAAAAAAGAAGAAACAAUCAGCGUAUGCAUUUCCCAACUAAAAGCCACAAGCAUUAACAUUAUGUAAAUACCUCUAAAUUAUCUCUUCUCCUGUAAAUAUUUCUUCCCUUAGCCUCCAACUCAAACUUGAUCUCCUGCAUACAAAUUUAAAGCCAAGUUCUCAACUCUACUGAAACCCACAAACCAAUAUAGUGUUUUUAGAUUCUAACCAAUGAAGGAGGUACAUACACAUCAGGAUGCAUGACCUUCUCCAUCUUUGUUUCUAGAUCCGUAGAAGCUGGCGAGAGUGUAUAGAGAGCCUUGCCUCAUAUGCGGGAGGAAUUUUUUGAUCCUUCCCGGUGGGACAAAACCUUGAAUUACAGUUCCCUGCAAACAAUUGAAGUUCGAGCAUAAGCGACAAUUAAAUUAAAAAAAAAAAUGAUUACUAAAUAUAAUAUGAAGAACAUGAUACGAAGAACAUUCAA